rnacentral:misc_RNA from 1 species
AGUUUAAAAAUUGUUUCAAGCUUUAAAUGAACGUUACAUAAUCUCAUAAUUUGGACAUAAUCCGCGUUUCAUGUUCAUUCCACUCUUUAGGUUUUUCCUAUAAAGACAAAUUUUUAACCGUAAAGUUUUCAGAAUGUAGUUUAUUUUAAGUGGAUGUUGCAUAACCCAAUACUUUAAAAAUGACUAAUCCGUUAUGGAUAAUUUCUACACGAUAACAGUUAUAGAACUUGUUUGUUGAGAAAUAAUAAAACGAAUGUUUGUUUUAAUGUUUGGUUUUACAUAACCUCUCGUCUUGCAAUAUGACAACCAGUUUAAGCACGUGUUACACCACCAUCGAGAAUAUUUAUAUUUAUAAUAACUGAAGAGAAUUUAAGAGAUGAUUGAAAAAACUGCAAUCUUAUAAAAUACAACUUUGAUUUUUCUUUAUAGAAAAUUAUAACAAGAAAAGUUCAGCAAAUAAGAUACAUACCUUUAGAAACUUCUUCAUCAAAAAGAUAUUAAAAAUUACUAUCUUUUCAG